GCGGCACUUUAAAGCCAGUAAGAUAUUCACAAACGCAAAGCAGACAAAACAACAGGCCGCGGGCACUUUCGCAAAGCAUCUCAAACUCUUCUGCAACCCUUUUUGCCUCCAUUGACUGUCGGGGAACUGCGUCUCGGCCGAGCAACUGUGACCCGGACCUGCACACGCCAGCCCAGGGCGUUGCGUGCCCAGUCGAGCACGCCGCAUUGGCCAUGCGAAGCGGCCACCGCGCACAUGCGGGCACCGAGAGUCGACCAAGUCGAUCGAGUGCGGCGACGUAGUCAGCGGCAUCGUUCUCGUCGGUCACGCGCAUUGUCCCACCUCUGGUACUCGAUGCUGCGUCGCGCCAUUUGUGGCACACGCGCCGAAAGGCCGGUCUGUCUUCUUUGUCGACCAUUGCACAGACGCGCUGGAUGAGUUCAAUAAAGAGGGCGUCGAUGGGAGACGAUGACAUUUUUCUGCGGUUGUCUCGCUGUGGGCGCUUCUGCCGCUGCUGGGGGAU
rnacentral:lncRNA from 1 species